CAGCUUUAAGCAGAACAUGGAGAAUAGUGGUUCUUUUCUAGACAAGAGCUGGAACAGAAUAUCUUCCAAGGCAGGUAAUACAUCUCACUCUUGAAAACUCACAAGAACCAUAGAGACCUGUUGUGGAAGACCACUGCAUCACAAGAUGGAAGGAGUAUGGAUCUGUGUGUCACUAAUUAAAAGAGAAUGAUCCAAGAGAGCUACCC